UCCCUGGUGGUCCAGUGGCUAAGACUCUGCGCUCCCAAUGCAGGGGGCCUGGGUUCGAAUCCUAGUCAGGGAA